CAACUACACAGGUAUGAAGCUUGUUGUUAUUUUCAGAACAUGAUUCAUGCACGAGGAUGGAGUGUGAUAUGGUGUCUCAGGGUGAGGAAGGAUCUAUACUUCUACUACUAAGAGUUGAAUUUCCAGAGCAUCAGUGAUGUAAUUUCUUAUUGAAGAUGUGCCAAACCGUUCAGAAGUCAGCCAAGCAGCAGAGAAUUUGGAGCAUUCGCUGGUGGCCUGGAGACUAAACACUCUUGUUUUCUGCAUUUGCUCGGCUGAUAAAUUCAAAGCAGAUGCUCUC